AUUGAACGCUGGCGGCAGGCCUAACACAUGCAAGUCGAGCGGAUGAAGGGAGCUUGCUCCUGGAUUCAGCGGCGGACGGGUGAGUAAUGCCUAGGAAUCUGCCUGGUAGUGGGGGAUAACGUCCAGAAACGGGCGCUAAUACCGCAUACGUCCUGAGGGAGAAAGUGGGGGAUCUUCGGACCUCACGCUAUCAGAUGAGCCUAGGUCGGAUUAGCUAGUUGGUGGGGUAAAGGCCUACCAAGGCGACGAUCCGUAACUGGUCUGAGAGGAUGAUCAGACACACUGGAACUUAGACACGGUCCAGACCCCUACGGGAGGCAGCAGUGGGGAAUAUUGGACAAUGGGCGGAAACCUGAUCCAGCCAAGCCGCGUGUGUGAAGAAGGUCUUCGGAUUGUAAAGCACUUUAAGUUGGGAGGAAGGGCAGUAAGUUAAUACCUUGCUGUUUUGACGUUACCAACAGAAUAAGCACCGGCUAACUUCGUG
rnacentral:rRNA from 1 species